rnacentral:rRNA from 1 species
UACGGGGGGUGCAAGCGUUGCUCGGAAUCACUGGGCGUAAAGCGUCCGCAGGCUGGAACGUCAGUCGGGUGUGAAAGCCCGGGGCUCAACCCCGGAAUUGCAUUCGAUACUGCGUUUCUCGAGUACGGGAGAGGGAAGCGGAAUUCCUGGUGUAGAGGUGAAAUUCGUAGAUAUCAGGAGGAACACCGGUGGCGAAAGCGGCUUCCUGGCCCGAUACUGACGCUCAUGGACGAGAGCGUGGGGAGCAAACAGG